GGGAAGGCGUAGGGAAACCGAGUCUUAAUAGGGCGAUUUAGUUGCUGGGCUUAGACCCGAAACCAGGCGAUCUAUCCAUGGCCAGUGUGAAGGUUGAGUAACAUCAACUGGAGGCGCGAACCCACCUAUGUUGAAAAAUGGGGGGAUGAGCUGUGGAUCGGAGUGAAAGGCUAAUCAAGCCCGGAGAUAGCUGGUUCUCCUCGAAAGCUAUUUAGGUAGCGCCUCGUGUAUUACUAUUGGGGGUAGAGCACUGUUAUGGCUAGGGGGAC
rnacentral:rRNA from 1 species